rnacentral:rRNA from 1 species
CAACAGGGAUUGCCUUAGUAACGGCGAGUGAAGCGGCAAAAGCUCAAAUUUGAAAUCUGGCGCCUUUGGUGUCCGAGUUGUACUUUGGAGAGGCAUCUUCUGGAGGGACCCAGCCUAUGUGCCUUGGAACAGGACGUCAUAGAGGGUGAGAAUCCCGUCCUUGGCUGGAUGUUCCCUCCUGUAUGUAGUGUCUUCUACGAGUCGAGUUGUUUGGGAAUGCAGCUCAAAAUGGGUGGUAAAUUUCAUCUAAAGCUAAAUAUUGGCGAGAGACCGAUAGCGCACAAGUAGAGUGAUCGAAAGAUGAAAAGCACUUUGAAAAUAGAGUCAAACAGUACGUGAAAUUGUUGAAAGGGAAGCGCUUGAGACCAGAGUCAGCCUUUGGCAAACAACUGUCCCUUCUGGGUGGUGCACUUGUCAUUGGUUGGGCCAGCAUCGGUUGGGACGGCAGGAUAAAGGCCCAGGGAAUGUGACUCCUUUAUGGAGUGUUAUAGCCCCAGGCGGCAUGCUGUCAGCCCCGACCGUGGACCGCGCCUCGGCUCGGAUGCUGGCUUAAUGGUCUUCAGCGACCCGUCUUGAAACACGGACCAAGGAGUCUAACGUCUAUGCAAGUGUUUGGGCUCCAAACCCUCACGCGUAAUGAAAGUAAACGGAGGUGGGAACCCUGCAAGGGGCGCACCAUCGACCGAUCCUGAUGUCUUCGGAUGGAUUUGAGUAGGAGCAUAGCUGUUGGGACCCGAAAGAUGGUGAACUAUGCCUGAAUAGGGUGAAGCCAGAGGAAACUCUGGUGGAGGCUCGCAGCGGUUCUGACGUGCAAAUCGAUCGUCAAAUUUGGGUAUAGGGGCGAAAGACUAAUCGAACCAUCUAGUAGCUGGUUCUGC